rnacentral:lncRNA from 1 species
CCUGGACACGCUUACCCAAGGCUAUGUGGAUUCCCCAGCUGUUUAUUCGUUGGUACUCCAACAUACUCUAAACAACAUGGACCACCGGUCAUGGUUCCGUCCUUUUUGCAAAAUGUUGAUGAUUUGUUGUUAUGUAGCCCUAGCUAUGAGGCAAGCACUGUGGAUACUGUCAGCAACUGUAGGUCACAAGGUUGUUAAACACAAAAUGCAAUUGUGUAAAUCAAAGGUUGAAUACUUAGGUUUUGUUCUGGCUUUAGGCACCAGACAAUUGAGUCCAAAACGUAUUGAGGUCAUUCAGAGGAUUCCUACACCCACUACUCGGAAGGAGUUGCUCACCUUCCUCGGCAUGAUUAAUUACUGCCACCAUGGAUCCCUGAAUGCUCCCAUUAUGACUCAAUCCUAAGGGAGGCUGUACGUUCUGACAGCCCUGAAAAUGUCUGCUGGUCACCAGACAUGCUAUCUGCAUAUAUUGCCCUUACAGUUGUUAUUGUGCAAGCCCAGGCUUUAGGACUACCUGUGUAUUGUAAACCAUUUCAUUUGUAUGCUUGGGACAAUUGUAAAACCAUGGCCGCGGUCUGUGCACAAGAGCAAGGAGGCGGUAUGCGUCCCAUAGCAUUCUUUUCCAAAGUAGUUCGAGCUCCGGUACAGGGUAUGCCGGCGUGUCUCAGAGCAUUGAUAGCAUGUGCAAUGGCUGUUGAAACUGCUACUACUAUCACACUAGGGCAUCCUACAAUACUUCAUGCCAGUCACCAGGUCACUCAGCUGACAAAUCUCACCACACAACACAUGACAGCCCAGCGCUUCAGUGGUUAUGAGAUUCUUUUUUUUAAUACCCAGAAUCUGUCUUUUGGAUUAAACAAGGUUUAGAGAAAGAUCAAAAUGAUCUGUUCUCUAAAGAGGGGAGAAUAGGCAUACUUGAAGAAUAGGCAUACUUGAAGCAAGCUGAUUUAUUUUCAUCAGUCAGGCACAUAGCAAGCACCAUUCAAUUCUUCAUGAAUUCAUUUUAUAUUAGGAAUCUCAGGCAGCAUGUACAGUCUUUUGUAAGAUCGUGUGAACACUGCUCUUUUUACACACUUACAGAUUGAUUUUAUUCAUGUAUCCAAAAUUGGUAAGAAACAGCAAUACUUACUGGUCAUAGUUAAUCAGUUUAGUAGAUGGCAUGAGGCCUUUGUGACAUCUAGGGAAGAUGCUAGUGAAGAUUAUUGUUACUGAAAUUAUUCCCAGGUAUGGCUGCCCUCUGCAGAUUGGCUCUGAUAAUGGCCCGGUUUUUGCCAGUGGGGUUGCCCAGGAACUUGCUAAAUUCUUGCAAGUUACCUGGCAGUUUCAUAUACCCUAUCAUCCACAGAAUACAGGGGUAGUUGAAAGGAUGAAUAGGACUAUUAAGGAAAAGCCCAGAAUUUACCCAGGAACAUGGGAAAAUUGGACUAGAUAUCUACCAGCUAUUUUAGCUGAGAUAAGAAUGAAUCCCCACAAGGUGACUAAAUUAUCUCCAUCUGAGAUUUUUGAUGGGAUGACCUUUUCCCACACCCUGGGCCAGGGAACCGCUUGUUAUAAUGUCUGUGGAUUUACAGCUAAUACAAGAACAAUAUGUACAGGAAUUGUUGAUAAAACCGAAUGGUAUGUAUGACAAUGUUUCUUCGCAGUUUUCCCUUACCUUCACAGGAACCUACUCAUUCAUACCAGCCCGGUGACAAGGUGUAUAUCCGUCAGUUGAACAGGACCAAGAAAGGAGGAUACCCUUUUGGACCACCUGCUACUGUGAUUGCUGUACCCAGAACCGCUGUCCUCACAGAUUCCCACGACAUCUGGAUUCACGCAUCCCGAGUGAAGCUGUGUCCAAAGAGGGGAACCAAGGAAGACAACACCACUCCUCGCUCGGAAACAGAAGAAUUUCUCCUCAGCGAAGCAUCAUGGCUUUUACACCAUAUCGUAGAUUGAGAGGAUCAUACAUACCUGAGACCAAGAUUAUGUUGUGCGCUAUGCUUUCUGGAGUUGUUAUACUCCCUCUGAUAUUGUUCCUUGAAUGCCAUUAUGAGUACAAGUCAAUGGCAAGUUUGAAACCUGUUUGUUUCUGGAAAAAGACUCUGACAUGAUGAACAAUUCUUCAAUACCCCCAGCCCAAUUAGGCCUUAGCCCCUCAUCUAGCAUUCGUCACACACGCCCCCUCAAGAACCUUUCUCCACCACCUUUCUAUCAGCAUGCAAUAUGCAAUCAUUCAUUCAAUGAACGCAUUUGGAUGAAUUGGACAAAUAGUAACCCUUAUAAGUACCAGUUACCCAUAUGAAAUGUGUCUACAGCUAAUGAAACCGAUGCAUUAUGUUUGUUUGAAGGUUCACAGAAAAUUGUUAGAUCUUAUAACGCAGAAAUGUGCACAGUUAAGGUUGCAUAUCAAUGUAAACAGACAGGCCUUAUUACUUUUAAUAAUGAUUAUAUAACUGGUAUCAUUAAUUGGAAAAGGGGACAAAUGUUAGUCAUUAUGAACGACACUGCAAUUGAGAACUAUACACUACCUUAUAUUUUUACACCUUAUUACUGUCCUUUAUCCUCUACCAUAGAACCAAAAGUCAACAACGACACACACACACCUAUUCCGUCCACAUGUAUUAAUACAACUGCCUUCUUACAAGCUGUACAUGUGUCAUUAAAAAUCACUACUCCUGUUGUAACAUUAUGUAACACAGCAAACAAAGGCAGAAAAGGGAAUGGUAUGACACACUGUUAGGAGGUGCUGGAACCACUAUGGGUAUACUAAAUAGUUAUAGAUAUGGAGACCCUCAAGAAUAAGUUAAACACAGCCAGCAUGCAUAUAGGGACUGGUUUUCAUGCUACUGCAAAUUGGGCUCCAAUUGUUGUUAAAUCACAGGUUAUAGGAUUGGAUUUAGAUAAAUCAAUGUAUAAUUAUUUAGAUAAUUUAACUGUUGCAACUAUGAAAUUCACAACAGGUCUAAGUAACUGGAGUACUUGUGCCAUCAGGUAUUUAUGGAUACAACAAGGAUUGGCAUUAGAAAACACACUAAUGAUUCCUAAACUAGAGAAGAUUAGAGGAAUGUGUAACCUCACAGAUAAUGAAUGGUUACUUCUAAAACCCCAAUCCACUAAAUGCAAUGAAUGGUUAACUGGUAAUGUUUCACAUUUUUCAUGCUCAUGCUAUUUUACAUUAUAUCAUACAUCAUCAAAGGAUGUUAAAUUAGCUUGUCAAUUUAACACAUUACCAGUACCAGUUUAUGAUCUUUUUGCCAAGAAUUUAACCUGGUGGGCACCCACAUACACAGGGGACUAUAUUUUUCCCAAAGAUAACAUACACAGGUAGCCACGCAUAUCCUAAAAGGAGAACUCCUUAAGGUGAGUUCACAAAUUCAGAAUGAUUUAGCCCAUCAUUGGUACGAUGCUUCACUGGUUGGUCCCCUACUGGAUCUCAGAUAAUGAAAUCAUUCUUCUAUCAUUUUGUUAUUAUAGUCCUGAUUUUAUUGUGUAUGAUUUUAUAUAACUGUCACCUUAGUUGUACAUUGAGGAAGUGAGUACAGAAAUUAAUCCAUAAUGCAGAACAGAAACAAUUAGAAAUUCUCCUCUCUGCCACUGUAGAGUAUCAACCCAUCUUUAAACUGGGCCUUAGGAAUUACCACAUGGGAAUCGAGGUGAAGAAAUUAAUGAAAGUCCCGCAGGGAGUGACUAGCACCCCUGAAAAUACCAUGUGGAAGUUUCUCUGUCCUGGUAAGAUUUUAUCGAUAAGAUGAGCAAUUGUUUUAUUGCUCAAAGAGGGGAAUGUAAGAAUAUUAAAUAGUUAACUUGUUUAUAUGUAUUUUAUGCUUUUAUAAGGUUUAUAACAUGAUUAUUG